UACGUAGGCAGCAAGCGUUGUUCGGAGUUACUGGGCGUAAAGGGUGUGUAGGCGGUUCUUUAAGUUUGGUGUGAAAUCUCCCGGCUCAACUGGGAGGGUGCGCCGAAUACUGAGGGACUAGAGUACGGGAGAGGAAAGUGGAAUUCCUGGUGUAGCGGUGAAAUGCGUAGAUAUCAGGAGGAACAUCAGUGGCGAAAGCGGCUUCCUGGUCCAGUACCGACGUUCAGGCACGAAAGCGUGGGGAGCAAACAGG
rnacentral:rRNA from 1 species